UCCUGCAUUGUUGUUUCUCUUUUAUUUUCCACACAGCUAUACCCCCCUUAAGAGCAGGAUUGAAAUCUUAUAUUCCACCACCCUCCUGAAUUUGCACAGUGCAUGGAAUCCAAAGCACCAUCUCCCUGUGGAAUAACUCUCUAAAAUCCAACUCCAUGGACUGCAGAGGAAGACUAACUGUAUGCUACCUAUUUUUGGAAGGUAUUGGAAAG
rnacentral:lncRNA from 1 species